rnacentral:miRNA from 1 species
CCUUGGCCACCACACCUACCCCUUGUGAAUGUCGGGCAAUGGGUGAUGGGUGUGGUGUCCGCA